CAAGUCUUAGAUAUGUAUAAAGAAUUUGGGUGUCUCAAGUAAAUGAAGCUUUAAAGAAGACAAAAAUAGGUAAAGCAAUAGGUCCAAAUGGUUUUAUUUAUAGUAGAAGUA